GCCGAUGUGGCUCAGUGGUAGAGUAACUGAUUCGUAAUCAGUUGGCCGCGGGUUCAAAUCCCGCCAUCGGCU
rnacentral:tRNA from 2 species